UACGUAGGGUGCAAGCGUUGUCCGGAAUUAUUGGGCGUAAAGAGCUCGUAGGCGGUUUGUUGCGUCGGCUGUGAAAUCCCGAGGCUCAACCUCGGGUCUGCAGUCGAUACGAGCAAACUAGAGUGUUGCAGGGGAGACUGGAAUUCCUGGUGUAGCGGUGAAAUGCGUAGAGAUCGGGAGGAACACCCGUGGCGAAGGCGGCUCACUGGGCUGACCUUGACGCUGAGGCGCGAAGGCGUGGGAGCGAACGGG
rnacentral:rRNA from 1 species